rnacentral:lncRNA from 1 species
AGAAACAACCUUAAAUAGAGAAAAACACUUAAUUACGUCAUUUUGUUCAGUAGAAGGACCCAACGUUUGAAUCAUCUGUUUAUCUCUCACAUUUAGAUAGUUAAUUUUGUAGUUAAAUUAGAACUAUAGACAUAACUUCUCUUUAUAUUUACUAGCUUUAUACAAAUGCUUACCUACUGAAUGAAUGCUCCCUAAAUGAAACAAGUUCCCUAUGGACUCGACACUCGGUCUUACCAUUCUAUAUAUUACUUGUGCGACUCGGUGCACUUGCCGAUUAGCAUCACUGACCAGUGAAACAAGUAUUUUAGCGAGAAGCGAACAAAGUUUUUGGCGCCGUUGCCGGGGAACUUCUUUCCAUUUGGGAAGUAUAGUUCAGUUUGUAGGCAUUGAUUCUUUAUUCUUUGAUUAAUUUUUGUGUGAAUAGUUAGCUGAAAUUUAUUUUUCUCUUGAUUAGGUUGACUGCUGCUCUUGUUAGUGUUUUGUAUGCGAGGUAACCCUUCUACAGGUGAUUUAGCUUCAUUGGAUUUGGAGAUAGAAGCCACUUGUAGGAGGAACAACAUAGAUAGAAGAAGGAAAAUACUGCAGGACAAGACAACACCACCAAUUCCAGAGGAACCUCAAUCAUUUGAGUCGUCUUCUAUUUUUCCAGAGCCAAGAGAAUUAGAAAUAGGUGCAUCUGAGGCUAACAUAAUGGUUGAAGAUCAAUCUAGGAGGGUUACCCUUGAAGAUUACUCUAGCUCGACUAUGCCACAAUUCUUCAUAAAUAUAGUGUGGCCAAAAGUUCAAGCACACAACAUUACAUACCCUCACUCCUUAAUACAGUUAAUUCAGGGAAAUCUAUUUCAUGGCUUGCCGAACGAAGACACAUAUGCACACUUGGCAACAUACAUUGAGAUUUGCAAUACAUUCAAGUUUGUCGGUGUUCUUGAGGACGCAGUGAGGCUGAGUUUGUUAUCUUUUUCAUUGUUUGGAGAAGCAAAGAGAUGGUUACAUUCAUUUAAGGGAAACAGUCUAAAGACUUGGGAUGAAGUGGUGGAGAAAUUUUUGAAGAAAUAUUUCCCUGAGUCUAAGAUAGUUGAAGGAAAAGCAGCCAUCUCUUCAUUUCACCAGUUUCCGGAUGAGUCUCUAAGCGAAGCACUUGAACGAUUCCGUAGCCUGCUGCGGAAAACACCGACUCAUAGAUUCUCAGAACCAAUUCAGCUCAAUAUUUUUAUAAAUGGGUUAAGGCUGCAGUCCAAUCAACUGUUGGAUGCUUUUGCUGGGGGGAAGAUCAAAUUGAAGACCCCGGAAGAAGCCAUGGAACUCAUUGAAAACAUGGCUACAAGUGAUCAUGCCAUCUUGCGUGAUUGGACUCACAUUCCAACAAAGAGAAGCCUGCUGGAGCUUUCCUCUUAAGAUGCAUUAUUGGCACAAAACAAGUUGUUGUCUAAGCAGCUUGGACAUUGACAGAAACAUUGAGUAAGUUGCCUAAUCAAUUACAGGUUAAUCAACCUUCACAUUCAGUUGUUUUGCAGGUUGGAGGUUGCAGCAUAUGCGGAGGAGCUCAUGAAUCUGGACGCUGUAUUCCCCUGGAUGACACAUCCUAAGAGGUAAAUUACAUGGGAAACCAAAAUAGGCCAGGAUUUAAUGCAGGUGGAUAUGCAGGUUACCAACAAGGUUCCAAUUAUUACCAACAACCUUGGAAAUCAGUUCAACAAGGACCAAGGCGGAUCAUCUAAUAGGCCUCAGAACCAAGGGCCUAGCCUCUAUGAUAGAACCACCAAACUGGAGGAGACUUUAGCUCAAUUUAUGCAGGUUACAAUGUCAAAUCAUAAGAGCACCGAGUCUGCCAUUAAAAACCUGGAGAUUCAAGUGGGGCAGCUAGUCAAGCGAAUAACAGAGAAUUCUUCUAGCAAUUUUGGAGCAAACACUGAGAAGAAUCCAAAGGAAGAAUGCAAAGCUAUCAUGACGAGGAGCAGAAAGGAAAACCUGGUUGAGGAUGAGGGAAGGAUUAGUGACAAGCAAGAGCUUGUGAUUGAAGAAGGAGAAAAAGAGGAAGAAGAGGAUCAGUUGAUGGAGAACAAAAUAUAUGAUUGUGAGAAAUAAAUAAAUAAAGAAAAAGAAAAAGAAAAAGAAAAAAAAUGAAAAAAAUAGAGAAAGUGAGGGAGAAAGGAAGACAAAGAGUGAGCUUGCAAGAGAAAAGAAGAAAGAGGUUGUCUCAUGUACUGGGAAGGAAGCACCAUACCCUCUGGUGUCAUCAAAGAAAGAAAAGGAGCGACAUCUGGCUUGUUUCCUUGACAUCUUCAAGAAAUUGGAGAUAACCAUUCCCUUUGGAGAAGCCCUAUAGCAAAUGCCACUCUAUUCUAAGUUUUUGAAAGAUCUGCUGACCAGAAAGAGCAAAUACAUCCAUAGUGAUAACAUUGUGGUGGAAGGGAACUGUAGUGCGGUGAUUCAAAGAAUCCUUCCACCUAAGCAUAAGGAUCCUGGGAGUGUUACUAUUCCUUGCUCUAUUUGUUCGGUGUCGUUUGGUAAAACUCUCGUUGAUUUGGGGUCCAUUAUAAAUUUGAUGUCUCUCUCCAUGUGCAGCAAAAUUGGAGAGUUGGAGAUUAUGCCAACUACAAUGACACCACAACUUGCAGAUCGGUCUAUUACAAGGCCUUAUAGCGUAAUUGAAGAUGUUUUGGUUAAGGUGCAGCAUUUUACUUUCCCUGCGGAUUUUAUUCUGAUGGAUAUUGAAGAGGACGCUGAAAUUCCCUUAAUUUUGGGUUAUCCCUUCAUGUUAAUCGCCGAUUGUGUGGUGGAUAUGGGAAAGGGUAAGCUAGAAAUGAGCAUGGAUGACCAAAAAGUCACAUUUAACUUAUUUGAGGCAAUGAAGCACCCAGAUGAUCACAAGGCCUGUUUUAAAGUAGAAAAAGUGGAACAUGAGAUAGAUAUGGUAGCUAGAGCCAUGGUACUGUAGUCCCUACUUGAAAAAGCAUUGAAUAACACUAUAGAAGGUCUGACAAUAGAAGAAGAAAAAGAAGUGCAGACCUAUUUGGAGGAAUUAGAAGGUGUAAAGAAGGACAAUCCAGCGAAAAAGGAUAAAGUGGAGUUGAAGACCCUUCCUGAACACCUGAUGUAUGUAUUUAUAGGAGAAAAUGAAACCAAUCCGGUGAUCAUCAGCAGUUCUUUGAGGAAGGAAGAGGAGGCUCAGCUGGUGAAGGUUUUGAAGAAACAUAAGGCAGCCAUUGGAUGACACAUUUCUGACUUGAAAGGAAUCAACCCAUUUUACUGUAUGCAUAAGAUCAAUAUGGAAGCUGACUAUAAGCCUGUAAGACAGCCACAAAGAAGACUUGAUCUAGUUAUGAAAGAGUAAAUGAGGAAGGAAGUGCUUAAAUUGCUAGAAGCAGGGCUCAUUUAUCCCAUGUUAGAUAGUUCUUGGGUUAGUCCUGUGCAGGUGGUUCCCAAGAAAGGAGGCAUGACAGUUAUUAGGAAUGAGAAGAAUGAUUUAAUUUCCACAAGAACUAUCAUUGGCUGGAGGAUGUGUAUUGACUACAGAAAAUUGAAUGACGCCACCAGAAAAGAUCACUACCCACUUCCAUUCAUGGAUCAAAUGCUUGAGAGGCUAGCAAGGCAAUCAUUAUAUUGCUUUUUAGAUGGAUAUUUUGGCUACAAUUAAAUUGCAGUAAACGUAAUGACCAAGAGAAGACAAUAUUUACCUUCCCCUUUGGUGUGUUUGCCUAUAAGCGAAUGCCUUUUGGCCUUUUCAAUGCUCCUGCAACUUUUCAAAGUGUAUGAUGGCAAUCUUUGCCGACAUGGUGGAGAAAUGUAUAGAAGUAUUUAUGGACGACUUCUCUGUCUUUGGCUCCUCUUUUAACUGUUGUCUAUCCAAUCUAGAGAGAGUAUUGCAAUGGUGUGAAGAAACCAACUUGGUGCUUAAUUGGGAAAAAUGUCAUUUUAUGGUGCAAGAAGGCAUUGUGUUUGGUCAUAAAAUUUCUGCAAGGGGGAUUGAAGUAGAUAAAGCAAAGACUCAUGUGAUCAAGAAGCUGCCCCCUCCGGUAAAUGUUAAGGGAGUAAGAUGUUUUCUUGGGCAUGUUGGGUUCUAUAGGCGAUUUAUAAAGGAUUUCUCAAAGAUUGCCAAACCGCUCAGCAAUUUGCUUAACAAGGAUGCUGUGUUUUUGUUUAAUGAAGAUUGUUUGAAAGCAUUCAACACUCUCAAGACUAGUCUAGUGUCCGCUCCCAUCAUUACAGCGCCUAAUUGGGGCCAAGAAUUUGAGCUAAUGUGUGAUGCAAGUGAUUAUGUUGUAGGUGUUGUCUUGGGCCAGAGGAAAGGCAAAGUAUUCCAUGCUAUUUACUAUGCUAGCAAAGUUUUGAAUGAUGCUCAGAUCAAUUAUGCUACCAUAGAGAAAGAAAUGUUAGCAAUAGUUUAUGCAUUGGAGAAAUUCAGGUUAUACUUGGUGGGAUCGAAAGUUAUCAUCUAUACUGAUCAUGCAGCCAUCAAGUAUUUGCUAAAUAAAGCUGAUUCCAAGCCUCGGUUAAUUAGAUGGAUUUUAUUACUUCAGGAGUUCGAUCUAGUUAUCAAAGACAAGAAAGGCUCUACAAAUCUGGUAGCCGACCACUUGUCAAGACUGGUUAAUGAGGAGGUGACUUUGAAAGAGCUAGACAUAAGAGAUGAAUUUCUCGAUGAAUCCCUGUUCAUGAUAAAUGAGAGACCUUGGUUUGCUGACUUGGCUAACUUCAAAGCAGUUGGAAUUAGCCCUAAGGAUUUGACUUGGCAGCAAAGGAAGAAAAUCCUACAUGAUGCUCGUUUUUACAUCUAGGAUGAUCCACAUUUGUUCAAGGUUGGUGCUGACAAUCUUCUGAGAAAGUGUGUAACAAAGGAGGAAGCCAAGAGCAUAUUAUGGCAUUGCCACAAUUCACCAUGUGGAGGACAUUAUGGUGGAGACAAAAUAGUAGCUAAGGUCCUACAAUCAUAAUUCUUUUGGCCAACACUCUUCAAGGAUGCCUAUCAACAUGCACUACAAUGUGAUCAAUGCCAGAGAAUGGGAGGAAUUUCCAAAAGAAAUGAAAUGCCCCUGUAGAACAUAAUGGAAGUGGAAAUCUUUGACUGUUAGGGAAUCGACUUUGUAGGUCCCUUUCCCCCAUCCUUUGGCAAUGAAUAUAUUCUCGUAGCUGUGGAUUAUGUCUCCAAGUGGGUAGAAGCAGUGGCUACCCCAAAGGAUGAUGCCAAAACUGUAGUAAAGUUCUUGAAGAAGAACAUAUUUGCUAGGUUUGAGGUGCCUCGGGUCCUAAUCAGUGAUGGUGGCUCUCAUUUUUGCAAUAGCUAGUUGCAGAAGGUGCUAGGCUAUUAUAAUGUCACACACAAAGUAGUUUCACCCUAUAACCCUCAAACAAAUGGCCAAGCAAAAGUCUCCAACAGGGAAUUGAAGAAAAUCUUGGAGAAGACUGUGGCUUCAACUCGGAAGGACUUGGCAAACAAGUUAGAUGACGCAUUAUGGGCAUACAAAACUGCUUUCAAGACCCCUAUAGGCCUAUCUCCAUUCCAAAUGGUUUAUGGGAAAUCCUGUCACUUAUUGGUGGAAAUGGAACAUAAGGCAUAUUGGACCUUAAAAUUUCUGAACUUUGAUGGGGGUUGCAUCAAGGGAAAAGAGGAGAAAAGAGGAAGAUAAAGCUCUUGGAGUUGGAAGAAAUGAGAUUGAAUGCAUAUGAGUCUUCAAAGUUGUACAAGGACAAAGUGAAGGCUUACCAUGAUAAGAAGUUGCUCAAGAUGGACUUUAGCCCAGGACAACAUGUGAUGUUGUUCAACUCAAGAUUGAAGUUAUUCCAAGGCAAGGUCAAAUCCAAAUGGUCUGGACCAUUUACAAUCAAGGAAGUCAGGCCAUAUGGAGCAAUAGAAUUGUUCGAUCCUCAGUCAGAGACUCCAGAUAGGACAUGGGUAGUAAAUGGUCAGAGGUUGAAGCUUUACCAUGGUGGAAGCAUUGAGAGGUCAACCAUCGUCCUUCAUUUACAAGACACAUGAGGUAAUAUGUGUCAAGCUAAUGACGUUAAGCGAGCGCUUACUGGAAGGCAACCCAACUCUUUUUAUUUUCAUUAAUCAUUGCAUAUAAUUAGGAUCAACUUGUUUAUGAUUGCUUGAGUAAGUCAUCAGCAUGUUUUGCAUAGAGAUAUGGGGUUGUCAAAGCUUCUUUGAAGCUGUGGAUGAAAAAUAACUCAGAAAAUUUUUCAGUCAUCCACUCACUCAACGUGCCCUGUGCACUAAGCAAAUCAUCAUGCAUGCGCUGAGCGAGUCAUUACUCGCGCUAAGCGCAUCAACCCCUACCCAUUGGAUGAUGGGGUCUCGCUAAGCGAGCCUUGUGCACUAAGCCUAAAAACCUCUUUGAAAUUGCAUUUAAUGGAAUUGGGCUAAGUGAGUCAUCUCGCUAAGCGCACAACAUAGUCUCGCUAAGCGAAACUUUGCGCUAAGCGCAAUUCCUUCUCUGUCUGGACCAUCAUGUGAAUUGGGCCCAGCGGGUCAGCCCGGUAAGCCCAAAUCCCUCUCGGGUAUGGAAUUGCGCUAAGUGAGACGGUCUCGCUAAGCGUGCCCCACUACUACAUUAGGAAGCAUUUAAUUCGCUAAGCGGGCACCUAUCCCGCUAAGCGAAAGUUGCAGACCAAUCAAAGCUGCAGAUCAUGCUAAGUGCAUACCUUUCGCGCUAAGCCCAAAUCCUUCUCGGGUUUUCUAAUUUUCGAAUUAGGCUGAGCGAGUCUAUCAUACUGAGCACGUGAAUUUAAAAUCUGAAAAUUCAAAAGUCACUGAGUGCUUGCUUAGUGAGUCACUCGCACUAAGCGAGACAGUUGAAACUGCCAAAAAUAAGACUUAACUGCUCUGGGCAGUUUCUUUUAUGCAAUUUACAAAUUUCUUCUACUUGCAUCUUUGUCAUUUCUGUACUCAUAUGCACUGCACACUCACUUUCUCUGCUUCUUACUCCCAACUUGCAUUCUCUACUCACUGCAAUCCAAGUAACUACUUCUCACUUUGCCUUUUUAAUUUUCAUUUAUGAACCUUAGGAUAGAAGCCAUGCUUAGGUUUUCAAAGCUUUGAUUAUGUGUUGAUUCUACUGUCAUUAGGGUAGUUAUUAAAAACCAUGUUCUUAGGGGUUUUGUUUCGCACAUAAUGUAUGUUGUUUUGCUGUGAAUUGCUUAGGUUUUGAGGCCUAAUAGAGGCCUAUAGUUGGGGGCUGCAAAGCCCCAAUUUUUUUGGAAUUCUCGAUGUUCUCGCUAUGCGAGCCCGUUCGUUAAGCAAGUUCAUCAAUUCUUGAUGAAUUUCUGGGUUUUUUGAUGAACUCGCUAAGCCAGCCCUGUCCCGCUAAGCGUGUUCAUCAUUUUUGUUUAAAUGUUUGAAUGUAUGUAUGAAAUCGCUAAGCCACUGCACUUUAGCUUAGCGAGUGCUUAAAUUUCCAGAUUUUGUUUUUAUGUUCGUAUGAACUUGCUAAGCUAGCAUAUCACGCUUAGUGAGUUGUGUUGCUUAGGUCAGAGUCAACGAGGUUGUUAGUCUUCUGUUGGUGGCUAAGCAAGUCAGUCUCGCUAAGCCACCAUGCCUCUAUAGCUUGAAUAAGCCUGGGCUAAGCAAGUCAGUCUCGCUAAGCCUAAGGCAAUUUAGUUUUCCGAGUUUUUGUUCAUGUGCUAAGCGAGUUAGUCUCGCUAAGCGCAAUUUCUUCUCUGUUUUGGAAUUAGGCUUAGCAAGCCUGCUCGUUAAGCCAAUUAUGUUCCAGUGGUCAAGUUUGGCUAAGCGCUUGCUGGCGCUAAGCCUGUAUAGUGUGUCACUCUAAGUGAGUCAGUAUCGCUAAGCGCAAUUAGCUCUCUGUCAGAGAAUAAGGCUUGGUGAGCCAUGCUCGCUUAGCCAUUAUGUUGUUUCAGCUAAGCGAGUGUGUCUCGCUCAGCCAAAGUCUGUGUUUUUGUGUUGUCGUGCUAAGCGCGCCCUGUGCGCUAAGCGUGUGCUGUUAUUUUCAUAAGCGAGUCAGUCUCACUAAGUGCCCAGUCUGUUUUUCUGUUUUAUUUUUCUAUUUUCAGUUUGAGAUAAAACCUGUCUAACUUGAUUCCUGUGAUUCUUUUUUGAUGCAGAUGGCCUCCUGGAAAAGGAAAUGCACCGCCUCCCGGCCCUAGGAGCCUUAUGACACUACCAGAUUUAUUUCUGAGGCUACCUAGGAGAGGUAUUCCCAGAAUGUUCACUCUCGGAACAUCCUUCUGGAGAGGAACGUCACUCUUUAUGUCACAGAAUAUGAUGAGUUCCGCUAGGAGCUCGAGAGGCGAUGUUGGCAUAAAGCCUUGACCAGGCAAAUGGAUGGGCAUAUAAUUGAAGCCCUGGUCAAGGAGUUUUAUGUGAAUUUGUAUGAUCCUGAAGACAAAUCCCCCAGGCAAGUCAGAGUGCAGGGGAAGCUAAUCAAGUUUGAUGCCAUCUCUCUUAAUGCCUUCCUGGAGACGCCACCAGUUCUUCAGCCAGGGGAGCAGUACACUUCUUAUUCCAUUUUCUGUUGAUCAUGCCCAAAUCCUUAAGAGCUUGCUUCCAAGCUCUGCAUUCCAGGGCGCGGAUUUGUUUUGAAUGCUGAAGGGGCACCCUGAAAGCUCCUGAGGAAGGACUUGACUACUCUGGCACAGACUUGGAGUGUCCUGUCCUAUUCUAACAUCGCCCCCACCACUCACACGUUCGAUCUGAAUAUAGACCAAGCAAGGUUAGUUUAUGGAUUGGUUAUGCGAAUGGACAUGGACUUUGGCUUGCUCAUCCCAGGCCAGAUCUCACAGAUGGCCCAGUCUAACUCCUAUCGACUUGGCUUCCCAACCCUCAUCACUGCUUUAUGCAUCGCCUAGGGAGUCGUCUUAGAUUCACUAACAUUUGAGUCCCUGAGCCCCGCCAUUAACUUGGCAUACAUCUUGAAGAAUUUUUGGAACCCAGAUGAUCCUUCGAUCACCUUUCCGGGGACCCGUAAGGCUCGGGCUUGGGGACCAUCGAAUGCUUCUGCUCCUUCUUCUUCUUCUUCUUCUCCAGUUCCAGCCCCAUUUUCUUCUGCUCCAAAUUCUACUUAUGCACCUCCAGUACCUUCCGGCCCCUCCGCUCUAAGCUCAGACGCCAUGGUGACGAUGUUGUAGAGCCUUCACCAAGGCUUAUGCCUAGUGAUGCAGAACAUUCAUAACUUGGCUCAGCAUCGACCCAUCAUUAGCAUGGAGGAUUUCAUGGCUCGGGUGGUCUGGCCAGGAGUCCAACCUUCUCCUUUGGGGGGAGGUGAGGCUCCUACAACCCAGGAGCCGCAGCCAGAGGCACAGCCCACGUCGGAGGUCACAUAGGAGGCUACACCAGAGGUCUCACCUGCUGCCACACCACUUGUGGAGGUCUCUUAGGAGGAGGAUGGUGCUGCAGACACCGAUUAUGCAGCUAAUAUGGUAGCAACAUAGAACACUUGGGAUCCCUGGCCCACAGCAGCACAGAAGACAUCUCAGUCAGCUCAGGAUGCUCCUUCCUCACCUUGGGAUGAUCAGAUACCGGUGCAGGAUGAGUGAUGACAGGACUAUCAUUUAUUUUCCUACUUUAGAUACAGUUUUAUGUUUUUAGUUUCAGUUUAUUUAGUUAGCAAAUUUCAAAUCUUCUUGAACAGUUUACAUUCAUUUAUGCAGUGGUUGUUUUGGUUUGGAAUUUCAGUGUUUGUGAAUGAUUUGAAAUUGAUCAAUGGCAUGAAUUAAGUGAAUUGUGAUGAUUAGAUCACGUGCUUUGAAUGAGUAUGCAAUAAUUAGAAGAGAAAGAACAUGAAUUAGGGAUGUGAGUGAAAAUGUUAGUUGGUUUGACAGGUAAAUUGUGAAGGUAAUCAUUAGCCAUAAACUGGUGAGUUGUGUGAACCUUAAUUGUGAGAGAAUGACUAGCAUUGAGUACCGAUUUUUGCAUGAAUCUCUGAAUACUGAAUGAAUGCAUGAAUUUGGAAAUGAUGAAGGUCAUGAUUGAUUGAAAUAGCCACUUAGCUAAAUAGUUUACCUUGUUCAUGAAUGAAUUAUCCUUUGCACCCACGUUGAGUUUAAACUUGAUUGAUUAAAUUGAACCCUGAGCCUGUUGAAGUGUAAUCUCCAUCUACCUUUUCUUAGGUUGUAGGAGAGCAUCAUGGUUCAAAGCAAAUUUGUCCCAAAUUUGGGGGAGGAUGUUGGGUGACAAUAAUUGUGGUAAGACAAAUAACAGCCACACAAAAAUAUCAGAAAGUAGUAAGUAAAAACUGCUAAAAUAAAAAAAAAAAGAAAAAGAAAAAAAGAAAAGAGAAAUUUCAAGAAUAAAAGUAUGUGUGUGUUGUUACUUAAGCUAAGUGCCUUAAAUGUUGAUUGGCAAGUCAGUAGAAGCUGGGAAUAAAAAGAAAAAGAGUUGAUCUAAGGAUGAAUGCUCUCCUAGAACCUAAGUUUUGCAUCCUAGAAAAACCAUGAGUUGUUUGCAGCCUAGCCUCAUUACAAGCCAAGAAAGUCCUUCAGAUUCAAUUUAUGUGUUUGUGAUUGUAUGGCAUGAGAUGAAAUGCAAAAGUUGAGACUUGUGUUGGUUGUUGACUGAAGAAUUGCCUUAAACACUUGUGCUUAUGAGUGAAAUAGUGACAAUGAGGAUUUGGCUUGAUGAACCUUCCUUGAUACCUAUCUUGCUUGCUAGAUUAUUUCACUUGUGUUGCUUAAUAACCAUGUUCAGAUCUUUGAAAUUCUGCAUAUCUUUAUGAGAAGUUGUUGGUUGAAAGCAAUGUUUGCCACUUGUGUUCAUAUGAUUGAAUGCUUUGGAACAAACACAAUUUUUAAUAACCACUGUGAUUUUGUCACUUGAGGACAAGUGAACUGUUCUUUCCUUGCUUGAGGAUAAGCAAAAUUGUAAAUUUGGGGGAGUUUGUUAGUUGUCAUUUAUGACUAACUUUUGUAUUGAAAAGCUUCAUGAAAUUUAUAUCUUUUCCCUAAUUUAUGGUUCUUUUUGUAGGUUUGUACAUAUUUUUUUUUGUUUAGUUUAAUUUUACUUAGUAGAUAUUCCCAAUAUUGUGAUUUAAUGUGGUUCAACUUCAGUUUCAGGCCAAAGGAUGAAGAAGAAGAAGGUUGAAGCAGCUAGUGUCUCGCUAAGCGAGGCAUAUGCACUUAGUGAGUAACAUCCGCUAAGCGAGGCACUCAGCUCGCUUAGCGAGUGGGAAAAAUCUAGAAGAGAAUCUUCAGCUCGCUCAACGAGUCAUUUGUCUCUUCUCUCACUCAGCGUGCCCAGCUCGCUAAGCAAAAAUCCACUAACUCGCGCUUAGCAGGAAAAUGGCGCUAAACGAGCCUUCAGGAUCAAAAAGCCCUUAAAAGACUAAAGUUGGCGAAAAAAUAAGGGGAGUUCAGUGAGUUUUUAUGAAGAGAGACAUAACAGAGCAAGAGAGAAAAGCUUGAACGAAAGGCCUCAACUAAAUUAUGUCUAGACACAGAGUGCAGGGAUUUAGUUUAUAAUAUGUUGUAAUCUUAAUGCAAUUCAUUUAGGCUAAGUUUGACGAGGAAUCUAGAAUGAAGCUUAAAUAGAAUUAGACUCAUUCACUAGAGGAAUCUUGGUUUGAGUAGUCAUUUUCGGCAUAGAAACACAUAAACAACCUUAAAUAGAGAAAAACACUUAAUUACAUCAUUUUGUUCAGUAGAAGGACCCAACGUUUUCAUCAUCUGUUUAUCUCUCACAUUUAGAUAGUUAAUUUUGUAGUUAAAUUAAAACUGUAGACACAACUUCUCUUUAUAUUUACUGGCUUUAUACAACUGCUUACCUACUGAAUGAAUGCUCCCUGAAUGAAACAAGUUCCAUGUGGACUCGACACUCGGUCUUACCGUUUUAUAUAUUACUUGUGCGACUCGGUGCACUUGCCGAUUAACAUUUCUAACCUGUGAAACAAGUAUUUUAGCGAGAAGCGAACACUGCUCUUGUUGUUGCUGAAGUUAGUAUGCCAACUGCUUUGGUUGGUUCUGUUAUGGCACCAUCGUCCACCGUCGCUACACCUUUGUUGAGUGUCGGUGUAGAGACCAUCAGUGCUCUUGUGGUGUCUCCUCCUUCCUCUUCGGCUCCAAUGGUCAUCCCUCCACUGCGUUGGCGGCGACAUCACCUUCUUCGUCUUCUUGUCCCCGUGUCUCCUUGGAUCAUUUGUACACCUUUAGUGAUACUGAUUCACUAUGGGGUACAAGUUACAAGCUGGAGCAGAAGACCCCAAUUGGCUUUGUUUUAGCCUUUGAUAAGAACCUUAUUAGGUCAGCUGGGGUGCAGAAUGCUACGCAUUUUGCCAAAGUUUUUCUUUAGAGAAGUUUGGCGAUUCUGGAGGAGAACGGAUAGUGGCACCAAGAGGCUUUGCAUAAGGUGGCAUCCUUGGAGGCAGAGGUCGCCAAAUGAAGGGCUACUGCUCGCACAGUUUGGAGAGUGGACCACCCUAAGGUGACUAAUGCCACCAUAGCCUUUGUUAAGGUCGUAAGGUCAAAUCGCCAACUGCCUUCCAAAGUUGGUGGUGUGUUGGCCAAGUUGCUACGCACCAAGUUGGAUGGUGAUGAAUUGUUCAAAUGCUACAAGGACUUGUAAGUGGAUAAAAGCUACCUAGCUAGCAAGAUGGAGGGCAUUGUGGCAGAGAGGGACGAGCUUGUGAAGGUGAAUGUUGAUUUAAAGGCUCGACUUAAGGAGUCAAAGUCUCGGUUAAAGGAGUACGAGCUGUGGGCUGCCUAGGAAAGGGAGGCCAGCAAGAAGCUUAAGGAGGAGUUGCUCGUUUACAAGAAGGAAGCCAUGGAGCAACAUGAAAAAGGAUUCAACAAGGCCGUCAGGCAGGCCGAGUUCUUUGCCAAGGACCUUGACUUGGGUCUCUUUGACCUUUAAAGGAUGUGAAGGACGAUGUCUUGCUUGACGAGGAAGAAAUUGUUGUGGACAAGGAGGCUAUUGAUGAAGAGCAGAGUGCUGAGGAGCAAGGCGAUGAUACUUGUGUCUAGGUUGCCUUUGCCUUUACCUUUCUUCUUUUCUUCAUUGUUAGAAUUUGAGUCAUAUAGGCCUUGUAACUAUGACAAUUAUUUUUAUUUUUCCUUAAUGCGUAUGUCUUCAAUGCACAUGCUUUCCUUCGAUGGUGAAUUUUUUCCUAUGUGUAUGUUAUGUAUGUUGCCUUUGUCUAUGCAACACUCUAUUACUUGUGGUAGUAUGGAUAGGCCGUCGUGAUGGUAAGUAUAGAAUCUUUGAUGGCAAAAGUAUUUACGCUGAAUACUUGUUCCACUGGUCAGUGAUGCUAAUCAGCAAGUGCACUGAGUCGCACAAGUAAUAUAAAAUGGUAAGACCGAGUAUCGUAUCCACAGGGAACUUGUUUCAUUCAGAGAUCAUUCAUUCAAUAGGUAAACAUUUGUAUAAAGCCAGUAAAUAUAGAAAGAAGUUGUGUCAAAAGUUCUAAUUUAGCUACAAAACUUACUAUCUAAAUAUGAGAGAUAAACAGAUGAUUAAAACGUUCGGUCUUUCUACUGAACAAAAUGAUGUUAUUAAGUGUUUUUCUCUAUUUAAGGUUGUUUCUGUGUUCUAUGCCAAAAACGACUAGUCAAACCAAGAUCCCUCUAGUAAAUGAGUCUAAUUCUAUUUAAGCUUCGUUCUAGAUUCCUCGUCGAACUUAGCUUAAACGAAUUGCAUUAAUAUUAUGACAUAUUAUAAACUAAAUCCCUGCACUCUGUGUCUAGACAUACAGUUCUCUAGCCUGCUCUAUCCAGUUCUAAGGAUUUAAAAUACUUUCCAAUGCUAAAAAUCUUAACUUUACACACAAAUGGGUGAUCAAGCCACAAGCAUGCAAGAAUUAAAUACAGAUAGAAGCAAUGAACACAUAAAAACAACUUUAAAUAGAUAGUGAAGAUUUUUACAUCAAAGCUCAGCAGAAAUCCCCAACAAGAGAUUUAGCAUUCCAUUACAAGUUAGCACCUUUCAGCACCAAGAUGAGGUUUUUGAAGGAAAAUUAAGAUUACAAAGUGGUGGGGAUGUCUCCUCCAUCUCUAAAAACCUAACAAUCACUCAUAAACCUAAAAUCCUCUUGAAAGCUGAGGCCUUUCGUUCAAGCUUUUCUCUCUUGCUCUGUUUUUCGGCUUUGUUACGUCUCUCUUCCAUAAGAACUCCCUAUUUUUUCUCCAACUUCAGUCUUUUAAAGGCUUUUUGAUCCUGAAGGCUCGCUUAGCGCCAUUUUCUCGCUAAGCGCGAGUUAGUGAAUUCUCACUUAGCGAGCUGGACGCACUGAGUGCGAGAAGAGACAGAUAACUCGUUGAGCGAGCUAAUGGUGCACUGGGCGCGUGCAUGAAUGGCAGAUUUUCUUCCAGAUUCUCCCCACUCGCUAAGCGAGCUAAGUGCCUCGCUUAGCAGAUGUUACUUGCUAAGCGCAUAUGCCUCGCUUAGCGAGACACCAACUGCUUCAACCUUCUUCUUCUUCAUCCUUUAGCCUGAAACUGAAGUAGAACCACAUUAAUUCACAAUAUUGGGAAUAUCUACUCAGUAAAAUUAAACUAAACAUAAAAAUAUGUACAAACCUACAAAAAGAACCAUAAAUUGGGGAAAAGAUAUAAAUUUUAUGAAACUUUUCAAUACAAAAGUUAGCCCUAAAUGACGACUAACAACAAGAAGCAAGACCUUGGCAAUGUAGAGGUAGGACUGUGGUGGUCUUGCAAAAAUUAGAUGACAAGAAAUCAUCUCAGGUUUGAUUUCAACCUGGUUAAAGGUCUUGUCACCCAUUUGGUAGGGCUUCCUUUUGCUUUGUGGAGCUUUUCCCCUGAUGUUUGUCAGAAGUAUGUUUGACUUGCUCCUGGUUGAAGGUUUUGCUAGCCAGUUUGGGGGUAGGUCGUGUAACCUGCGAAGCUUCUCCUUUAAUGGUUAUGAAGAGUAAGUAUGACUUCCACUUGAUUGAAGGUCUUUCAAAAUAGUCUAGUGGUAGUUCAUUUUGUUGAAUUUGGACCUUUGACGAUGGUCAUCGUAGUUGGUGCAAGUGAGCAGACCAAAGGGGUGCCUUGGGUUUUGUAGGAGUACUUACCAAGGGUGGACCUUGGGGUUUGGAGGAGUGUGUUCCAAGGGUAGACCUUGGGUUUUUGAUAUACUUGUAUUCCUGCACAGAUAAAAAUUAGUAAUAGAGAAGAUCAUUAAGGGUAAACCUUGCAUACCUUGAGUUCCUAUGGAGAUGGAACUUAGUAACAAAAAGGGCUCACCAAGCAUGAACCUUGGGUUUAUCGAGCCUUGGACCGGGGAUGUAUUUGCCCUAGGUUUUAUCAAGCUUGUGGAGCUGCGUCGAGGCUUACCAAGGAUGAGCCUUGGAUUUUGUGAAACUAUAAGAAUUACCAAGCAUGGAGCUUGGAUUUAACGAGUCUUAUGUGCAGCAAAAGUGUUGUGCACUUGCAUACAUGGCACUAGCCGUGGAUGGCAUGUACUAGAGAUGUAAUGGUGUGCUCUUGCAUACGUGCCUCUUACAAAGUGACAUGUAUUAGAGACAUGGUGGUGUAAAUUAGUAGGACCCACCAAGGGUGGACCUUGGGUUUUACGAUCCUUUUGGAGGAUUAACCAGGGGAUUGUCUGACUUGGGUUUUGGGCAUCAUGCUUUUGCAUGCAUGCCACUUGCCAUGGGUGGCAUAUACUAGAGUCAUAGUAUUGUGCUCGUGCGUACAUGUCGCUUGUCGUGGGUGACAUGUACUGGAGACGUAAUAGUGUGCUUGUACGUACAUGUCACUCACCGUGGGUGACAAGUACUCGAGACUUAGUAGUGUGCUCAUGUGUAUAUGUCACUCGCCGUGGGUGACACGUAUUGGAGACAUAGUAGUGUGUUCAUGCGUACAUGUCACUCGCCGUUGGAGGCAUGUACUAGAGAAAUAAUAGUGUGCUCGUGCGUACAUGUCACUCGUCGUGGGUGGCAUGUACUGGAGAUGUAGUAAUGUGUUUGUGCGUACAUGUCACUCGCCACGGGUGGCAUGUACUGGAGAUUUAAUGCUAGAGGGAGGGCUCACUAAGGGCAAUUCUUGGGUUUUAAGAUCCUUGGAGCUACGACUAUGGAUGCUCGUCUUGAUAAGGGAAAUGUGAGAAGGGGUGUAAAAUUUUUAUUCAAUGUAUUUGAUUAAGUACAAAUUACAUUAAUUAUCCUAGAUGUGCCUCGUUAAAACCUCUCAAGCCAAAACCCUGAUUUUUCUAUUUUUGGGACAAAAGACCUGAGUAGGAAAAAAGUACAACAUUGGGUUUGCAUUUAGGUCAACUGAAGUAAAACUUUAGGUGGGUGAAGUUCCACGUUCUUGGAAUUGCUUUGCCAUCUAGGUCUUGUAGUCUAUAUGCUCCGUUGCCAAGGUUGGUUGUGACCCUGAAUGCUCGUUCCCAGCUGGGGCCAAGCUUUCCCGCUUGGGAAUCUUUUCUGGCUUCACCUUGGACUCAUCAUACAAUGUCACCAGGUUGAAAGGCUCGUGGUUGAACCUUUGCAUUGUAUCUCCUUGCUGCUCGGAGCUUGGCAGCUUCUUCCCUGAUCCUCGCCAUAUCUUGGACUUCGUCUGUGGUUUCGAGUUCUACCUUCAUAUUUUCUUCAUUUUGCUGUUGAUGGAACAACAAUCUCCUUAUUGACAGUUCCCUGACUUCAACAAGGAUCAUGGCGUUUGUGCCAUAUGUGAGUCGGUAAAGAUUUUCAUUGGUUGCUAUCUGGGGUGAACAGUGGUACGCCCAGAGUAUGCUGGAGAGCUCCUUUUUCCAUAGACCCUUAGACUUGUUGAGUCUAGUACGUAGCACCCUAAGAAUGACUCUAUCAAUUGCCUCUACCUGACUAUUGGUCUGAGGAUGUUCGACAAAGGUGACUAGGUGCUUUAUGCCUAGCCUUGUCAAGAAGUCUUUGUAAGUCUGAGCUUUGAAUUGAGUGUUGUUGUCUGUGAUAGUGGCAUAUGAGAGGUCGUACCUACAGAUAAGGUGUUUCCAGGUGAAUUUCUCCACCUCGUUGGCCGUAAUUUCCCACAGUGGUUUUGCUUUUAUCCAAUUGGUGAAGUAGUCGAUAACAACUAGCAAGUAUUUGACUACUCCUGGGGCCUUUGGCAGUGAUCCCAAUAUGUUCAUUCCCCAGGUGGCGAAGGGCCAAGGGGAGCUUAGAUUGUGGAGAUUGUUAGGAGGGGUGCAUGGCAGAUCUAUACCUCCUAGUAAAGUUGAUGGUGUCUGCCCUGAGUGUUGGCCAAUAGUAGUCGGCUCGCACCACUUUGGUCGCAAGGGAGCAUCCUCCGUUGUGGAGACCACAUAUCCUUUCAUGAAGUUCUCUCAUGACGUAGUUUUCCUGUUAGGUGUUUAGGCAUUUGAGUAGGGGUGUUGUCAACCCUUUUAUGAAUAGCUUGCCAUCAAGGAUAACGUUGUAGUUGGCCUUUCAUUUGAGGCGUCAGGCUUCGUCCUCAUUUGGUGGUAGUUCCCCUCGAAUUAGGAAGUUCUUGUAGGGGGUCAUCCAUUCUGGUUCCUCUUCUUCUCUAGCCAUAACUUCCUCAACAUCUAUGGUGGGAGUUUAGAGGGUUUCCCAGAUGAUAGUCUUGAGGUGCCCGACCUUUUUGGUGCUGGCCAGCUUGGAGGGUCUCCCUGGGUAUGUAGUACAUUUUGAAACAUUCAAAAUUUUCAAUGAAAGUCUUCAUGAUGUGAUAGUACUUGAGCAACAUUGUUUCCUUAGUUUGGUAUCUCUUAGCAACUUGUCCUUGGACAAGCUGCAAGUUUGUGUAGCAUCGUAACCUCUUGGCUCCGACUUCUCUUGAUGGCUUCAAACUUGCAAUGAGCACCUCAUACUCUACCUAGUUGUUUGAGGCUUUGAAAUUGAGCUUGAGGGCUUGCUCUAGAGUGACAUUGUUAGGGCGUUCGAGGAUGAUUCCUGCCCCGUUUCCUUUUACGUUGGACACACCAUCAAUGUAAAGGUUCCACUAGUCUGGGAUGGUUGUGUCGUUUCCAGUGAAUUCUGUUAGAAAGUCAGUCAUGAAUUAUGUCUUUAUGAGGCUGCGAGGUUUGUAGUCGAUGUAAAACUCUGAAAGUUUGACGAAUCAGGCCACCAUCCUUCAUGAGAGUUCAAGCUUUAGCAAAACUUGCUUAAUGGGGUAGUUCGUUUUGACGACCACUUGAUGACUCUAGAAGUAGGGCCUGAGUCGUCGGGCCAAGGUAAUGAGUGCUAGCGCUACCUUUUCUAUCAUUUGGUAGCUCUUUUUAGCGUCAUGAAGUGUGCAACUGGUGAAAUAAAAAGGGAGUUGGUGUUUCCCUUCCUCUUGUACGAGCAUUGAGCUAAUGGCUUUGUCAGCUACUGAGAGAUACAAAAGUAGGGGUACUUUUGGCCUGGGUCAACUCUAAACUAGUGGUGUGGCUAUGCUCUUCUUGAAAGCUAGGAAAGUUUGUUCGCAAGUCUCAUCCCAUAGGAAGGGCUCAGGAUUUUUGAGCAAUUUGUAAAAUGGCUUUGCCUUUUCAGCAAGCCUCGGGAGGAACCUAGACAUGGAUGCUAGCCUACCAUUCAAUUUCUGAACUUCAUAGAUGUUAGUUGGGCUGCACAUCUCUAGUAUGGUAAUGCAUUUUUUAGGGUUGGCUUCAAUUCCCCGGUGAGUGAUCAUGAAGCCAAGGAACUUUCCUCCGCCUACCUCGAUAGUAUAUUUUUUGGGGUUGAGGCGCAUGUCAUAUUUACAGAGUUCCCCAAAGACUUCUUCCAGGUCUGUCAUGUGUUGAGCUAUGCUUUGAGACUUGACGUCCAUGUCAUCCACAUAUAUCUCGAUGUUUCAUCCGAUCCACUAUUUAAAGACUCGGUCCAUCAGUCGUUGGCAUGUAAUGCCUGUGUUUUUUAGGGCGAAGGGCAUGACCCUGUAGCAAAAGUUGGCAUCUUCUGUGAUAAAUGUCAUUUUCUCUUCGUUUGGAGCAUGCAUCCUGAUCUAGUUGUAUCUUGAGUAAGUAUCCAAGAAGCUUAGAACCUAAAACACGGAGGCUCCAUCGACUAGCCUGUCGAUAUUGGGCAAAGGGUAUGCAUCUUUGGGGCACGCCCUGUUUAGAUCAGUGUAGUUGGUGUACAUUUGUCAUUUGUCGUUGGUCUUUUUGACCAUGACGACGUUGGCGAGCCAAGUGGAGCACCUAACUUCUCUAAUGAAGUUAGCGUUGGGGAGUUUGUCGACUUCUUCUUUGAUAGCUUUGCAUCGUUCUUCACCCAUCUUUCUUUUCUUUUGUGAUAUUGGUUUGGCUUGGGGAUAGAUGGAAAGUUUGUGGAAGAUGAUGUUGGGAUGGAUUCUCGGCAUCUCAGAUGGGUGCCAAGAAAACAAAUCAAAAUUUUUGUGUAACACAUCAGCGAUGCACCGGUGCUCAUGGCUGGUGAGGUCCCUACUCAGCUGCAUACACUACCCAGGUUUAGGUCCGAGCUGCAGCUUGAUGAGCUCUUUGAUGGGUUUUGGGCCUUUGUGUCACACGGAUCUAUGUCGAAUUUCUAGGCUUGCUUGGUAGACGGUCAGGGCUCGGAUUGGAGACCCUUUAUUCACGCUCAUGACUUGAGUGCCUUCAGCUAUUGUGGGGUGAGGAUAUGGUGCUACCUUCAAGCUUUUUGCAUAGCAUUGUUGUGCUUGCUUUUGUUCUGCCAUGACGGUUAUUAUCUCCCUGGUUAGGGUAUGGAAUUUCAUUUUCAAAUGGGGCAUGGAGAUUAUGGCUCUAAGCUCAUUAAGUGUCUUCUUGCCGAUUAAAGCAAAAUAUAAUGUAUCUGCAUCAACAAGUAGAUAUCUUAUGGUGAAUCUCCUAGAAAGCUUGCCUUGAUCGAAGGUGGUCAUUAAGUCAGUAUAGCCUCUGGUCUCUACUCUUUCCCCUGUAAAGCUGAGGAGUGGACCAGCGUGAGGGUGGACAGUGUCGGGGGAGACCUCGAGUGUCUGGAAAGUUUUUAAAUACAAGAUAUCAGUGGAACUGCCCUGGUCGAUGAGGACCUUAGACACCAUGAAGUUUGCAAUGAUGAUGGAGACAACCAUGGGAUCGUCCUGGUUGACGAGGUUGAUACCCUUGAAUUCCCUAUCUGUGAAGGUGGUAGGAAGGAGACUUCGUUGUGAUGGUGCAUCGACAAAAUUGAUGUCGAUGUUUCGAAUGGCGUGAAGAUGGCAUUUUCGGGAUUGUUCGCGGCCAGCAAGUGUACCGGAUCACACAAGUAGUAUAAAAUGGUAAGAACCAAGUAUCGAACUCUCGGGGAACUUGUGUUAUCUGGAAAGCUAUUUCGGUAAAUAGGUGUCUGGUAUGAAAAGAUGAUUGUGGUUAUGAACAGGUAUGUAAACUAUCUAUGCAAAAAGAAAGAAAAUCACGUAAGAGAAAUGUUGUAUAAAAACAAGUAGAGAACAGGUUGGUCUUCCUAAUAGGUUCCUGAUGCUAGAACGAAUGUUCUCUAUCUAACAAUGCCCAUGUAUUCCUAUGUUGUCUCCUGGAUUGUUAGACCCCGAUUCCUCAUGAUAGCCUAGCCUAAUCCAGAUCAAGCCUCGUCCGCAGAUUCUUCUUGUAAGACUAAACUCAACCAGGACCGCAUUAAGACACACAUACACAACUAAGUUCUUGUACCCCGAUUCCUCGUGACAGCACAACAACUUAGCCCCAUACUAUCAAGGACUUUAGAAUCAGACUAGUUUCCACUGUUGAAUGACCCUAACAAAGCAUGCAUCUACGUGAUCAAGGUAAAGGCAUACUAGAAUGAAAAGCAGAUAGCACAGAGAACACACAAAACAUCAUUACAGAGAUAGAAAUAUAUUUACAUCAGGUACCUACAGGGAAGAUCCAAUAGAGGAUUUAGCUUUCCAUGGUUCGGAAACCUCCUUUACAACACAGAGAAGAACAAGAUGAAAGAUAGCAAAAAUACAAGUGGUGAGGAUGUCUCCUUCACCUCUAGGAUCUCACAAUCACUCACAAACUUAUCUCAAGUUCUCAGAACGACUUCCGCUUCGAGCUCUCGUCUCUGCAGAUCUUCACACAGCAAAAUCUCUCAGAACUCUUUGGAACUUGGACCUUUCUCUCUCUAGAACUUCCUAAACAUGCAAAGCUUCAAGCCAAGGUUAGACUCUCGUGCAUGUAGAGGCUUUUUCAAGAAAAAUGCCAAACUCCCUCAAAAAAUCUGAUUUCAAGUUUAAAUAGGUGGGUUGGUCCCUACUCGCACGCUUAGCGUAAAUCUGAAUCGCUUAGCACGCAUAAGUGGAUUGUGGCUUACCACGCUUCUCUCACUUAGCGGAUGAGCUGAAGUGGUGCGCUUGAUGACCUGGAGUGGUGCCCUCAGCGAACCUGACAGAUCAUCUUCUUCUAGAUUCUUCCUCGUGCUUAGCCAUUGAGUGUCACGCUUAGCGAAUGCUCGCUAAGCCAGCAGAUUGGCUUAGCGAGAAGGUGAAAACAACAUUUUUACCAAUUUGCCUAAUUAACCUGAAAUUAAGAGAAAUUGAUUAUUAAACACACAAAACAAAAGUAUAAAUUAUCUAUUAUCUAUAUUUAACAUAAAGUACUUAUAAUAUUAUAAAACAACUAUAAAUUGGAGAAGUUUGAUACAAUAUACACAAGUUUUAUACACAAAAGUUAGUCGUUUUCACAGACUAACAGGGACUAGUUGGACUAUCCUCAAUAGGAAAAUCCGCCCGCAAUGGUGUUGAUUCACCCCUAAUUUGUUAGGCGGAUUCCUGUUCUUGUGGAGGUUGUCGUUCACACCGUUGUUGUUGGUGUCUCUGUCUUCCUCGGUCUUCCGCUCUAUCUCUUCUUCUAUUUGCAUUGUGAAUCCUUUAUUGCUCCUCUGGGUCUUGUUCCAACUUGGUAGUUGUCUGGCCUAUUGACAAACUGGGCUAGGUACCCAACUUGUAUAAGCUUUUCUAUCUUGUCCUUAAGGGGCCAACAAUCUUCUGUGUUAUGACCAAUACCGUGAUGAUACCUGCAGUAUUUGGUUACGUCUAACCCCGACCUAGGAGGUUUCGUUGGGGGUAGCCUGAUGGGAACCUUUAAGUUGAAAGCUUCCUCUAGAAUUGUAGUGUGAUUAACCGUUAGGGGUGUGUAACGCUCAUACCUGGACCCUUUUGGGAAAGGUUGAUGCUUGUCUGACUUGUGUAAGUCGGUCUUGGUACUUCUUUCUCACUUGUCGAGCUUCUGUAUGACUUGUUUGACUUCAUUCUUGAAUUUGGACAUUUUUCCAUCUGGAUGUAGCCUUUGGCUUACUCGCGCAACUCGUCCAUGCUAUCAUGGAUUUUUUUUUUGCACAGAUUGUCCGCAAAAUUGUUGGGGUGUAGGGCGAGGAGCAUGGAAUGCAACGCUACCUUAGGGUUAAGAUUUUGGAUUUGGACGAUUGUGCGCCCAAAUCUAUCCAUGAAUUUUCUGAGAGACUCGUCAUUUGCUUGUCACAGACUGGCUAAGGCAGUCGAGGUCAUACAGUGAGAUCUACCGGUUACAUACUGCACACUGAAGUGUUCAAUGAGGGUGUCGAAGCUGUCUAUAGACCUAGGUGGUAGUUCGUUGUACUAGGUCAAUGUCGCCCCCUUAAGGGACAUUAGGAAGACAUGACAUAGAAUCACAUGUCAUCAUUAGUGUAUAGGUUCGCCCGAGUCAGGAAGGCAUUUAGGUGCUCAUCUGGGUUUAUGGUCCCAUCAUACCACUCGAGGUUGAGUGGUUUCCACCCCAAGGGUAUGUCAGCCUCCAUGAUGCAGUCAACAAAGGGAUGUUGACGAGUAGUCCGCCCUACUGGACAAUGCAUGUGGGAGAGACUUAAGUCAUCUACAGUGUUGACUGUGCGUCGGGGGUGUGAUUCCCCUUGGAUGUGCUCAAGCAAUGUGUGAGCGAAGUGCUCAUUGCCUUGGGGACGUCUGAUACGAGCCUCCAGCUGAUCAUGGUCAGCCUUUAGCUUUCUCAGCUCCUCCUCAUAGCAUUGCUCCUUCUCCGUAAUUCGGUUUUGAAGUUGCUAUAGAGAAUUUGUGUCUGUCAUAACUGCCGAAUGAGGAUGAAAGUCUUCGAAAGGAGUCUUGCGUCUAAGGCUAGACCAAGUGCUAACCAUGGGUGAAAAAGGAGAGAGUUGAUGAGAGAUCGCGGGGUAUAUUUUACCAUGUCCCCACGGUGGGUGAUAAAUGUACUUACCAAAAUCCGAAGCUAGGACACAUCAGGCUAGACGUGGCCAAUGUAGGCUCUUGAACUUCACACGUCGACUUAGAGAGGCACCUUUGUUAAGAGGACAAGAGGGGGGACCUGCAAAACAAAGGACUCUGAUGCUCAAGUAAGUAUAUGAGUUAGGAGAUAAAGCAAGUGUAUGCUUAAAUGUAGGCUCGAGUGAGCAAUAGAGAGAGAUAAGCAUAGGCUUGUUGCUUGUGUGCUGGUGUGUGUGGCAUGUGUUGAGGGUUCAGUGGAACCUAGUAUUUAUAAGAGUGGAGCAUAUUUGUGGAUUCUUGUUGGUAGGGGCUGUUAUAGCCUUUGCAGAUAAUUCUUGACUUAUAGAUAAUAGCUGAUAGCUUGUAGAUAAUGUUAGAGAUAAGCUGUAGUUUAUAGAUAAAAGCUAGAAAAUAACUGUACUUUGUAGAUAAUGUGUGGCUUUGUAGAUAAUUAAAUACCUGCCAGUAGAUAAAGAUACUCAAUUAUAUUCAAAUAUUAAUAGGUUAGAGAUAACCUGUUAGUCAGGGAGCCUAACUGCUAAGGGCCGAGUGUUCAUGCUCCUGUUGCAGGGCUGACGUGGAGGGUUGACACGUGUCUUAGAGUGUCAUGUAAGGUGUCAAUUAUAUUUUGUGGACCCUGGACAGUAAAUGUGAUUUCAUAUUAUUAAUUGAUUCAAUUGUUGUUGUGGUGCGAUUUUAAGAAUUAUUAUUGGAUGCAUGAAAUUAGGGAGUUUGUUGGUAGUUUUUUUAAUGGUAUUCUUAUAAUUUUGUAAGUUGAUCAUCACCUUCUGGGAAAGGAUGAUGAUAUACAUUUUAUUAUGAGAUUAUAAUGUUAUAUACCUCCAUCUGGGAUGAGAAUAAUAUUUAUUUAUAGAUACUCCCAUCUAAGAUGGGGGAGAGAUUCUAGAUACCUUCAUCUAUGAUAGGGAAGACUAUGAGACACCAUUACAUGAAAUAUGAGCUCAUAAACUUUUUGAAGAAUCUGAAAUCUACACUGAUUUUGGAAACCAAAAAAUUGAGUCUUGUGAUUCUGGGAAUCACUAAAUUAUGUCUGUUAUAUUUAUUUGAAUACACUGAGGUAUUGUUGUUUAUUUAAAUAUUUUAUUUAUUCAGAAUGUCAUGAAUUGUAAGUGUUUUAAUCUUAUUUUUAUUAGAGUAUACACACACACACAAAAUCUUAUUUUAAAUUCAUUAUGGAUACCAUGACUGAUUUUCGGAUUACAACGCCAGUUGAGAACAACAUUAUUUACAAAACUCUAAGUUUGUUUUAUUCACUAGGAUUAUCAUCUCAUUAAAAGUGUUGUUUUCAAAGCACAAGGAAGAAGUUUUUGGAAUUGAGGAGGCUUGAAAACUUAGUUACCUUUAAAUACAUUUUUAGCUUUGUUAGUACUCAGAAUAAUAUGUCGAAUGUGACUGAUUACGUUAUACUUUUAGUGUCGGUUAUUUUUAGAUACCUAUAUUUGAGAGUAAUAUUUUUACUUAUGUAAAGACUUAUUUAUUUGACUUUAUUUAUUAUACAUGAGGUAUUUUCGGACUAAUAUAAUUUUGAGAUUUUAUAUUCUUUUUAGUAUGAGUUGUUAUUUUAAUAAAGGCGUUAUGGUGGUUGUAGUAAUAGUGGUGAUUGUGGUGAUGAUAAAUUAAAUCUUUAAAAUAUUUAAUUUUCUAUUUGAUAAAUCUUAUAGAGAUUUUAUAAUUAAACGAGAAUUUAAUUUGAAUUUAAAAUAUUUUAAUCUUGACCUUACAUUUUAAUAUAAUGGAUGAGAAUGAUCAUUCUCAUUCUCACAUAAGAAGAUCAUUCUCACCUAAAACGUCCUUCGAUCUUUCUUUAUGUAUAUGAAACGUCUUCCUUUUUCUUUCUAUAUAAAGGGGAUUAACAACCAACACCAUAAAUAUUUGUAAAAAAAAAAACCCAUUGAAUUCCUUUGUCAUUAACUUUAAUGUAAGGAUAUUAUAAUAAUUUAUGUUUUAAUUUUAAUGUUUACGAGAGAGAAAAAAUGAUUGAUAAUUUAAUGCUUAGAGAAAAUUGUCUAAAAAUUAAUGUGGACAAAGAUGAGAGAAGAAAGAUAAAUAAUUAUUUUAAAAUUGAAUCAUAAAUUAAUAUAAUAUCCUUAAAUUAACUUAUUAUACAAAGGAAUUUAUUGAUUUUUUUUACAAAUAUUUAUGGUAUUCCUUAUAAAUACUUAAGUAUAAAAGUUAUAAUUUUUAUUUUAUAUCGAAUAAUGUGGAUUAACUAUUGACUUAUUAAGUUGAUUCCUGUCCUAAUAUUACGAUCGAAUAGAUUAUCAAUUCGAAUUCGAAUCUAAUAACAGUGCUCAAUAGCAACUUCAUCUAAUAUCUACAUGACAUGCCGCAUCAUUAAAAUUGAAAAUUUGAUCGGAUAUUUGAUCAAAAACAGAUCCAUACAAGUGAUAUCUUUUGAAAGAGAUCCAUUUUGGUAAAUAUUUAGAGAGGUAAAGGUCGAAGUAAAGGUAGAAGUAAAGAGACCCAUGUAAAAACUGACCCAAAUUGGUCAAAUAGCCGUUGUAAGUUAUAACCACGUGGAGUGGAGCAGCGACUGGUAAAGGUAGAAGUAACCAUAGCGAACGUCGUUUUAUUUCUUAUUCCCCACGUUUCAAAAAAACCGUGAAAUUUUCUUAAUCUGUUGGCCUUCUUCCACGAUUCCUCUGACCUUUCUUCUUCACUUUUAAUUUCUGGUCUUCGGUGAUACCCAAUCUAUCUUCCGUUCAAAUCCCAAACCCCCUUCGCAUCCAAUGCCCUAGUUUCGCUCCAUUCUCUCCGGUUCCUCCCCACGAUGUCCAGCGACACCUCCUUCGCGGACCGCAAGCUCUGCGGUUUCCUCUGUACGGUUCUCACACUCACUCCCCGCGACGACUCAGACACCACCGACAUACCCUUCCCCGAGCCAUGCGAAAUCUUCGGCGAAGGGGGCGAGGUCGGCUUCCGGACCCCGAACGGCGUCGUUCUGGGCCCGGUGCUCGAUUCGUUGCAAUGCGGCGGUGGCGGCGGUGGCGGCUCCAACAAGAUCAAGAGAAGGAACAAGAUUGGAAUGGUGAACGGGAGCGUGAGCGUGGUUCACCAGCUCCACGCCAUGGUCACUCGCAAGUGCGCCAGAAUCGACGCUCGCGUGGUGUGCGUUGAAGCGCUUCCUAGGGUUGUGGUGCUGGUUGACGUGUAUGUCCCCGUUCAGGUAUGGAGUGGCUGGCAGUUUCCGAGAUCGGGACCCGUCGCUGGCGCCGUUUUUCGCCAUUUGAGGUUAGCUUCUUCUUUCUCGCCUUCGAAUUCUUUGUAUUUAUGUUUAGGGAUUUAGUUACUAAUAACAUUGCAAUGUGUAGAGAAAGAUCACAUGAACGAUUUUGGUGAAUUCUGCAUAAGUAAUAGUUUGCCAUACUGUAGUUGUUUGAGGUUUUAAUUUUUAAACUGUGGUUGAGUGGUAUUUAUUGGUGUAUGUUUUGAUUAAAGUUUGAAAUCAUAGUGUAGCGUGGUUUUACAGUUUGAGCAAAGUUUUUGAAAUUCUGCACUACUUAGUCCUUUGACAGUUAGUCAGUUACCAUGCUAAAUUUGGCAUUUUUUAAAAAAAAAAUAAAAUUAAGGAAAUAAAUAACUAGUUUAGCUAGAUGUCAUGGUUUUAAUUGAAGGACUACAAGUACAUACUACUAGAGAUGGUGUAACUGUUUCAUGUGAUGUUGUCUGCGAUUUGAAUCUUUGGUUAUCUUAUUGCUUGUUUGGUCACGUGUGUUGGUGUGUAUUUAUGUGUAAAUCGAGAAGCUGUGAAUUGUAGCUUUCAUGUUAUUCUACAAUUUGACAUGAGAUUUUACAUGUAUAACAUAAAUCUGAACAGACUAUAAAUACACUAUAAUUAUUUAGUGGUGUGGAUGAGAUGGAAGAUAGUUGUAACCUAUGUAACUGAUGUAAUGUUCUUGCAAGGGUAGUUGCCGGAUUCUUUUAGCUACUCUGCAUACUAGAGAGUAGAGACUAUUGCCUUGCAAACACGGUAACUUUGUGGUCACAUGUUUCAUUCCUGAUGGGUUAUAUGAAUAUCAUGACAAUUAUUGAUGCAUUGUGUUGAUUUGCAAAAACAUUGUUUUUUCUCUUUUGUACAAGAUGAGAGAAAACUCAACAUUUCUUUCUCUUUCCAUUUCUAUUUUUAAAGGGGGGGGGGGGGGGGGGGGGGGGGGGGUUAAAAUGCAUCUCAGAUCAUAAGAUCCUUCCUAAAAUGCAAAUACAUAACUCAUAAUAAAGAUUAAAAUUCAAUACAUAACACUCAACUCAAAAUAGGUUCAUAAGUCAUAACAUAACUCAUAGUAAGUUCAUAUUACUUAAUACAUGCACACUAAACUAGGAGAUCAUUCAAAUUAAAAUCAGGAAAGUCAUCUGUCAUCCUCCAGAUGAUCUUCGUCCUCUUUAAUGGCAUUUCCUCUACCUUCAUCAUCAUCAUCAACAAUUGGAGGAACCUCCAAAUCAUCUACUGGUGCACCACCACCUACUAGCUUCUUCUCCUGCUUCAACUAAGAUAGCUUCAUCUAAAGCAUCCAAUUCUAAAUUUGCUUCGUUCUCCACCACAACCCAUUCUUCAUCAGAAGCUUUGGGGGAAAGUUUCAAAAGAAUUUAUAUGAUACAUUGGUAAAAUAUGCAUUCUUAGCUAGUUUCGUAUUACACUACAAAUUGAUCAUUUUAUCAAACCUAAUACCAUCUCUAACAUGAUCAUACAAGAUCACUCACUGGUUUUAUUCUCGGAAUUCUGUAAACAAUAAAUUAAAUUGUCUGCCUUCAUUUUCCUGUGUGAAUAUACUUAACGGAUGUCUUUGGCUGUCUUAGUUAGCUAAUAGCUAAAUGUUUAUGCAGCUGUGAUUGGAAUGAGAGACGUUCAAUGCUUUCAUAUCCAGACUAUUGUAGGAAGACUUAUGGAGCAAAUGAGAGCAUUUGGAACCUUUCUGAUUGUCAUGUACUUGGUUGCAAGCUCCAUUCCGGUGUGAGCAAUUCUUCAAGGAAAAUACUAUUUCAACUUCAUGAAAUUUUUAAGGCACUACCUGGUGUAGGAAAGCGGCAGACAUUUAAUAGUUCCAAGAUAAUACCUAUGGAUAACAUUUGCAGAUCAGGCAUUUGGGAGUUAUCUGAUGAUAUUUUAACUAAGAUUUUAGCUUCCCUGGGCCCAAUGGACCUCACUAGGGUUUCUGCAACAUGUCAUCAUUUAAGAUCCUUGGCUGCUUCGGUAAUGCCUUAUACCAAGUUAAAUCUGUUUCCUCAUCAGAGGACAGCAGUUGAGUGGAUGUUGCAUCGUGAGCGAAAUGCUGAGCUUUUGCCACAUCCGUUAUUUGUAGCUCUCUCAACUGAAGAUGGCUUUAGUUUCCAUGUAAAUACUGUAACUGGUGAUAUUGUUACUGGGGAAGCUCCCACCGUCAAGGAUUUUCGUGGAGGAAUGUUUUGUGACGAGCCUGGCUUGGGUAAGACUGUAACAGCUCUCUCUCUUAUUAUGAAGACGCGAGGUACAUUGGCAGACCCGCCAGAUGGGGCACAAGUAGUCUGGUGUCAACAUAAUGGUAAUCAGAAAUGUGGAUAUUACGAGGUCAGUGUUAGUGGUAAUCACAUCACUGGUUGUACUACCUUGGGUAAGAGGGAUGUGUGCCAAGAUACCAGCAGAACUAAUGAUAACCAUGAUUACUCCUCCAAAAGAGCCAGAUUGAUAGAUCCUGAUCAGCAAAUAACUAAACUUCAUGAUUCAUGUUCCAGGGAAGAAAACAAAUCACCUGUUGAUGCAUGUUUCAAGGAAUCUAUGCAUUCAAAUCAGUUCACUGGGAGUUUGAGUCGCAUAAAGAAAAAUCUACAUUUCACAUUUGAAGAUGAAGCUAUGAUUUCCAAGGAAAGAGAAAUUGGUGAAGGAUUAAUUAAAGCAAAGCAUGCAUUAGAUGUUACAUCUCAUGUAUCUCAAAACAAGUCGCCUGGGAAGCCUAAAGGUGACUGUUUUGAGUACAAUGAUACAUGGAUUCAGUGUGAUGCUUGUCACAAGUGGCGAAAGCUUGUAGACAAUAGUAUGGCUAAUUCUAGUGCAGCAUGGUUUUGUAGUAUGAACACUGACCCUCUGUAUCAAAGUUGUAGUGUCCCUGAACAACAUUUUCAUAAUAUCUGUAAGAUAACACACUUGCCAGGGUUUCAUUUGAAAGGAACUUGUGGAGGUGAGAAACAAAAUGUUUCUUUUUUCACUAGCGUGCUUAAGGAGCACUACUCCUUGAUAAAUUCUCAGACAAAGAAGGCCCUGACGUGGUUGGCUAAAAUUUCAACAGACAAGCUUGCAGGAAUGGAAACAAAUGGCAUCAGGGGUCCUAUUUUAAACAUUUGUACUGCAUCUAAUAGACAUUUCCACAAAAUAUUUCAAGCAUUUGGCCUCUUAAAGAGAGUAGAGAAAGGUGUUUGCAAGUGGUACUACCCUCAACAUCUUAACAAUUUGACUUUUGAUGUGGCUGCCCUUGGCAUGGCUCUCCGUGAACCAUUAGAUUUUGUUAGGUUAUACUUGUCAAGAGCUACCCUGGUAGUUGUUCCAGCAAACUUGGUUGAUCAUUGGAAAACGCAAAUAGAAAAGCAUGUGAGGCCUGGUCAAUUGCGGGUUUAUGUUUGGACUGAUCAUCAAAAGCCAUCUGUGCAUUGUCUUGCAUGGGAUUAUGAUGUUGUCAUAACUACUUUUAGUCGUUUGAGUGCAGAGUGGGGCCCACGUAAGAGGAGUGCUUUGAUUCAAGUGCAUUGGUUUAGGAUAAUUUUAGAUGAAGGGCACACUCUUGGGUCAAGCCUGAACUUAACAAACAAGUUGCAAAUGGCUAUUUCAUUGAUAGCUUCAAAUCGAUGGAUACUAACAGGAACUCCAACGCCUAACACUCCUAACAGCCAACUUCCUCAUCUACAACCAUUGCUAAGGUUCCUUCAUGAAGAAUCUUAUGGACUGAAUCAAAAGUCAUGGGAAGCUGGUGUGCUUAGGCCAUUUGAAGCAGAGAUGGAGGAAGGGAGGUCUCGUCUGUUACAUUUACUUCAAAAAUGCAUGAUUAGUGCUAGAAAGAUAGAUUUACAAAGCAUUCCACCAUGCACGAAGAAAGUUGUUUAUCUAGAUUUUAAUGAGGAGCAUGCUAGGAGUUACAAUGAAUUGGUAAUCACUGUACGACGUAAUAUAUUGAUGGCUGAUUGGAAUGAUCCUUCACAUAUUGAGAGUCUACUGAAUCCAAAACAGUGGAAAUUUCGUAGUGCAACUUUAAAAAAUGUGAGGCUUUCAUGCUGUGUUGCUGGACAUAUUAAAGUUACACAUGCUGGAGAAGAUAUUCAAGAAACAAUGGAUAUGUUAGUACAAAGUGGUCUGGACCCUACUUCAGGAGAGUAUACCUCCGUAAGAUAUAAUCUCUUGUAUGGUGGUCACUGUGUCAGGUAGUACCUAGGUUUUAUUCUUUCUUGUGGCUUUAUUUUUCUUCUGGUUGUUGCUGUUUAUUAAUUUUUUUCUUAAUAAAUUGUGAAGGUGCAAGGAAUGGUGUCGCCUUCCACUCAUUACCCCAUGUCGGCAUCUGUUGUGCCUUGAUUGUGUUUCUAUAGACAAUACCAAGUGUACUUAUCCUGGCUGCAGUAAAUUGUAUGAGAUGCAGAGUAGAGAGGCCCGACCUGAAAAUCCUAAACCGAAGUGGCCUGUACCCAAAGAUCUUAUUGAGCUACAACCUUCAUAUAAGCAGGCAUGGUUAAUGGAGAACUCAGUUAACAUUCAUCUUUUUUUCCCUCUUUCUGGUUUGCAAUGCUAACAUGCAAUGUUGAUUAUUUAAUACCCAGGAUAAUUGGGAUCCUGAUUGGCAAUCUACAUCUAGUAGUAAAGUCUCCUAUCUCGUCCAGAGGUUGAAAGCUUUGCGAGGAACCAAUGAAGAGACAUACUUCAAUACAGAAAAUAGCAAUGAUGAUUUGCAUAUUGAGAAUAGUUUGCAUAGAAGUGAUGACAAAUCAUCAAUUCAGACAUGUUCUAUGAGCAGCACUAAGACCAAUUUGAACCCUGAGAAAGUUCUGAUAUUUUCUCAAUUUCUUGAGCAUAUACAUGCCAUUGAACAGCAGGUACAGUUUUAUGCCGCAUUUUGUGUGUGAUCUUUCAUGAAUUGUUCUAUUUUAUUUUUUGGCAUCUGUGAAUUCUUUUGCAAAUGAUCAAACUAUUAAAUUGGAUUUCUCUUUGGCAGUUGACUAUUGCUGGUAUCAAAUAUACUGGAAUGUAUAGCCCAAUGCAUUCCAGCAACAAGGUAUAAUGCUGGAAUUUUCUUUUACUGUUUCUUAAAAUUAAAAUUUACUUUUGGUUUCUGACCGUUGGUUAAUUUGCCUUUUCCUUUUCCAGAAGAAGUCAUUAGCCAUGUUCCAGCAUGAUUCAAAUUGUAUGGCACUUCUGAUGGAUGGAAGUGCUGCAUUGGGUCUUGACUUGAGUUUUGUUACGCAUGUAUUUCUAAUGGAGCCAAUUUGGGACCGAAGGUUAAUAUAUCAAACUAAUAUAAUUUGCAAACAAGAAUAUAAAAUUAAUUUUUUAUUGCUUUUAAGACUGAGGGAUAAAAUGAUUUUGAGAAAUUUUAAAAUUCUACAUUAUUUAAUUUUCUUCUCAAGUUGAGCAUAGUAAAAUUUUCUGUGAACUUUCUGUGUGGCUAAUAUGCAUUGUCAAUACUGAACUUUUCUGUUUUGGGAUUUAGCAUGCAAACUGGAACCAUGCUGCAUAAAGUGACUGGCAGUGUAUCUCUUGGUUUCCCAAUUUGCUGGAUCCUUCUACUUCAACCGAAAUUGGCAUGUUUAUCCAGUUUAAUUAUUUUCUAACUUGACCAAAAUGUUUUCAGUAUGGAGGAGCAAGUAAUUAGUCGUGCUCAUCGUAUGGGUGCUUCUCGUCCUAUUUAUGUGGAAACAUUAGCAAUGCGUGGUACAAUUGAAGAGCAAAUGCUAGACUUUUUACAGGUAAAUCUCUAUAAAUUGAACUAUCUUACACCUAUUUGAGUGUACUACUAACAAUGAUGGGUCUCUUUGAAGGCCUUGUUAGUUUAUGUUGUCGUUCAUGUAUGUCACUGAAAAUUGUCUCCUCAAUGUCUUUUGUUUUGUUUAGCUUUUAUAUUGUUGUUGUUGUUCAUCUUUCAAUUUGUUGAUGGUUUAAGCAGGAUGCUGAUAACUUUAGAAGAUCACCAAUUAAGGAUGCUACCGAAUCUGUUGAUGAUAGUGGGGGACGAGGAUAUAGAUCAUUGCAUGAUUUUGCUGAGAGUAGUUAUCUACUGAAACUUAGAUCUGUGUAUACUAAUUUGGAAAGUCCAAAAGGUUUGUACAUACAGUUUUUCCUUAACUGUUUUUUGUUAGCAAACAUAGAUUCAACAGAAAGAUGAGUGAUAUUGCAUUUGAGAAAUUGAAUGCGAGUAGUUUUUAUGACUUCUAUUCCUUAACUGUUUAUUUGAAAUUUUUGCCUGAAACAAAAAGUAAAAAGGUUAUGGUUAUGUUUUCGCCUAAACUGACUAAUAAGAUGCUUUAAAGUUUAUAAGCCACCAGCUAAAAGUUUAUAAGCUUGCAUAUUAAAUUAUAAGUGUUUUGUAAAAUUAUUGGAAUAGUUGGUAAAUGUAAAAUAACAUAAACAUAUUGUAUAACUGUUUUAUGUGAAUUCUAUUUUUGUUUUGUAGUCAAAAACAUUUAAUUAAAAGCUAAUUAAAUAGUUCUGUUAAAGUAAAUACUAAAAUAUUAUAUGAAAUAAAUAACCCAAAAAUUAAUAAAAAGAGAAAAGUAAUUAAAAAAUAGUUACAUAUGAACAAUGUUGAAGAACAGAUCGAGGGUAAAGGUAUAUUAAAAUAGUAAGGAUAUAAAGGAAGGAAAAAAUAAACUACAUGCUUAUAAAUUAUAAGCUACCUGAAGUAGCUAUAAGUUAGUGAAAUAUACUUGUUUACCAAAUACCUUAAUUUGGUCAAACAAAGCUUACAAUGUAGUCAACUAAGUUACAAGUUUGCUUAUUGGACAUGCCAAACACACUAGAUGUUUGGAAGUGAUAAAGCUGUUGAAAUCCUACUAUGAUUUUCUUUUCGAGUGAAAGAAUCAAGUGAUACUUGCAUUGCUCAAAAGUCACAAGUUAUUGUCAAUUCACUUGGUGAAUUUUGGUUAAAUGAAAUAUUGUACUCCCUUCGUCCCUAAAUAUUAGACUCUUUUAAAUGAUUCACACCCUUUAAGAAAGUUAGUUAAUAUAUUUAAUAGUAUUAAAAUUGUUAACAAUUUGUUUUAUUUUGCCAAAGUUACCCUUAAAAUUAUUGGGACUCAUAUCUUUCCUUUCACUUAAUUACUUCCCCACUUAAUUAAUUAAUGUGUGUUAAUCUUAUCUAAUCCUUAUAAGAGAAAUAAUGAUUUAUCUUUUUAGUACAUAACAUUUAUUGUAAAGUAAUUAAGAGUAUUUGGAUCAAAAUAUAAUUAAUGCAAAAGACAACUUGAAACAAACAUAAUUGAAAAAAGACUCUUAUAUUUAGGGACGAAGGAAGUAUGUCCGAGCACUUUAAGCCUGUUGAAACUGAUGGCAUGCUCUGACCCCUCUGAAUAGGACACCCUCUCCUCUCAACUUUCCCUUACCAAAUUGUAUGUUUUUUGAAAAUGAAUUUAGGAUAUGCACUUGCACUUGAAUGAAUUCUUUUACUUUUCUUUAUUAACUUGUUAAUUUAUUUAUUUUUUUAGAAUAUAAUUAGAAUGUAUUGAGUUACACUGUCUUCCAAUAUGAAUAGUCAUAUAGGUGAAAGUUGUUGACUUUUAAAAGUCUAUCUAGAAUGAUUUCUAAUUAGUUGAUAAUGUAAAAAUCUUUAUACUAUCACUAUCUUAAUUAAACUCUUGUGAUAAUGACUUUUUUAUCCGUUUUUACUUCAGGUGUUUGAUUGAUCAACAUCAAGCAAGUACUGACUAAUUUACUUGGAGCAAGUCCUGUGUACAUUUUGCAAGUUUGCAUGCUCUUGAAUAUGGUUUUACUUUUUGAGUAUAUAGUCUUACAAGUGCUCAUCUAAUGAAAGAUGCUUCCAUAUGCAUUGGAGAGUGGAAACUAUUCUUUUUGUGCAGAUUAUGGAGCUAUUUGCAGCGUCGCUUCUGUUUGCCAGUGAUUAAUGAAAUACCGGAAGUGUCCCUGCUUAUUCUUAUGUAAAGGAUUUAGUCUAGUUGAUUUGAUGUGAUCUAGUAGGCAAUUUGGAGUCAAGUAUUCGAAUUGAAAUAAAAUGUUGAGUUAUUGGAAAACAAGUGUUCUCCCACACCCUUUCUCUUAACAGUAGGUAAUAUUGAAAAAUCAUAAUAACCCUUGCCCCCUAAAAUUGGUGAUAUCAUGUAUGUUCUUAUGACUAUCGAUUUCAUUAUAUGCAGCUAAUAUUGUAAUUAUUAGCAAUGAUCCCAGUGCUUAUUAGUCAACAGAAAUUUCAAGAUAUAUUAGCAAUUUGAGGGAGAAAAGGUUUCUGUUCAAUUUAUUCUCAUGUUAGCCUGGGUUUUUAAUUGAUUAUUAUGCUUUGUAGGUUUGUUCAUUUAGUCAUUUGAUUUUGUUGGUCAUUCGGAACGACCACCUGGAUAGUGUAGAAGUUCAAUUAGUUAUACAAUAGGAUAUAAUAUAUAUGGAUGGAGAGAUAAUGAUAAAGAUAGAUGGAUGAAUGGAUAGAGGUAAAGACAGAUGGAUAAUCUUGGAUUAAAUUUAAUUUUGGUUACGUAUGAGUAGAAACUCCCAAAUUCUAUAAUUGUAUUCACUCACAAGUUCUACUCCCAAAUUCAAUAUUCACUCACAAGACACAAGUUGAUUAUUAUGGGACAACAUAAGGGGAUAGGAUUACCUCCUAGGGGAGGAAAGAAAUUAAAAGUUAAUUUUCAAAAUAGUAACCAACCUCCCCGUAUCAAUGUGUUUUUUCACGUUAAAAAGGAAAAAUAAAUAUCACCAAUCAUGCUAUAGGCCUCAAUUUAGCCCAAAAUAUGCAGACAAGUCUAAAAUCCAUAAUUAACUAAUAAAAAUGGUCCUAAUGUAUUCCAAGCUUGAAAUCAAGAAUCGACCAAUCAAAAUAUUCUUAAAUAAUUACAGGUUCAAUUUAGGACUUAAUGACAAUACAAAAUCCAUACUUAAGCUCAAAAUAUUUGAUUUAAUCUUUCAAUCAAGUCCAUAACGACUCAUGGAUAGCUAACACCAAAUUGGAUGAAUUUCGACAAUUAGGUUUUUCAUAACUUCUCUAACUCUCUUGACGCUUUUGUCAUUAGAUACAAACCACAAAUGGUUCAAUUGUAAUUUGUCUUUGGUAUAUUGAUAGGUUCAAUAUUAUUUUUUUCCGUUCUUUCACUCCAAAGAUUGAAGGAAAAAGAAACUUUAUGUUAAAAAAAUGUAACUUAAAAUUAUAUUUUCUUUUCAUCCUUUGGUCUCUUCUGCUUCUAAUAUUAUCCAGAAAUAAUGAAUUGAGUUCAUAUAAACAUUUUGGAUGCUGCCAUUGAAAUAGUGGUUCUUGCUAUAUUUCACAGGGCCUCACCCAUUUUAUAAAGUAUUUUUUUCCAUGUUUAAUGAUAGUUAAAAAAUAUUCGAUAGUAGUAGUAGUAGUAAAUUUGCUAUAAUUUUGACAAAAAAAUGAGUAUUUUAUUAAACUCACUACAAAUUUCAUAGAAAAAUUUAUUUUUUUCUGCACAAUUUCUUACAAAAUUUGUUUUGUAUUAUAAACUUACAUAUUUUUUCUCAAAAAAAUUACAAUAAAUUUUCCAUUUUUUAAAAUCAGUACCUUAUAAUUUAUUUUUUUAAAAAAAUACCUUUAAGAGUGCUACUAAAUUUCCUUAAAUUCACUAAGAAAUCAUAAAAAAAAUAGUUUUUUCUGCAAAGUUUUUUUUACGAAAUUUUUUUUGUAUAAAAAAAAUUCUUUUAGAUUUUCCAAAAAAAAAUUACAAAUAAAUUUUCCAUUUUUUAUAUAUUCGGUACCAAAUAAAUUGUAAGAAAAACCUUAGGAGUGCUAUGAAAAUAAAGUAAGGAAAAUAUAUUUUAAUAUUAUAAAAGUCAAUUAAUUAAAAAAAUAGUUAAUAUUUGAAUAGUAUCGCUAAAUGCUUAAAAUUAACUAUAACAAAUGAUAUUAUAUAAAUCAUUAUUUUAAUUUGUAGAUUAUAGAUUAUUUUAGCCGUUUCAAUUUGGUUUUUCUCUGCCACUUCCAAAUAUAAUUGAAUUUUCAAAAGUAUAAUUUACUUAUAUAUAUUUUUAUUUGAAUAAAUUUUGGAAGAAGAGAGCUAGGUUAAGAUUAAUGUCUGUCCUUACUUAAAUCCUUUCUAAAAAAGGAACAAUUUAUGAGUGAAAAUUAAUAAGCUUAAACAUUUUAGUCUCAAGAUUGUCUCUAAAUAAAAAUAAAGCAUUUCUAAUUUAAUUGAAUGCAUGUACAUAAGUGAAAGCUACCACACGUAGUUUUGGAUUACAAGGUGUUUAUAGUCCGACAGUUUCUAUGUGAUACAUAAUUGAGUUUUUCAAUUUACUAAAAAAAUUAAUAAUAUUCCCUUAUGUGUCAUAUUAACAUAGAUUGAAAUCAUAGUGGUCCCUAAUCAUAUGCAGAUAAGGCCUCUUGAUGCCAAGACCUUUAAGUAGCUGCCUAUCAUUUUGGAAGCAUGUGUAGUAGGAGGUAUUUCUUAGAAUUUGACAUCGAUGUUUUAAGAGAAUCAGAUGAGUCAUCAAACUGAUAAAGAUAAUGGAUUAAUAGGUCACUAAUCAGAUCAAAAUUUCAUUAAUCAAACUGGUUUAACUUGAUAUAUAUUAAAAAAAUUAUAAAAAAUAUAAUUAAUUAAUUUUAUUUAAUCAUUCAAUACUCUAAAUUUAAAAUGAUUGUCGUUAUAAAAUACCUAAUAUAUCAAAUAGUCAUCAAUAUUCAUGUCAAUGCAACUUUAUAAAUAAGUUUCAAAUACAAACAAACAUUCAAUGUGUUAAAAAUAAAAUUAAGUUUACAAAAAAUUUAUAUAUAUAUAUAUAUAUAUAUAUAUAUAUAUAUAAAAUAACACUUGAUUCAAUCAAAGACUCAAUGGAUUUAACCUGGACUACACCAAUUCUAAUAUAUUUACGAUCCCGACCGGUGUGUUUAUUGGAUUCCGAUUGAAUUCUGUCCAAUCCGAUUCUUAAAGCAAUGCGUGACAUGCGUCCAAGUUAACCUAUUUUGGUCGAUGGUGGAGGGGAGCGAAUCUUCCGCUCAAUAAUGCAUUUACUUGACCAAUAGUGUUAGUAAUGCAUGCUUGAUUUCUUUAUGCAAGAUUUUGAUUCUGGGCUUUGUGUAUAACAAUAAUUUCUAAUAGAACAUUUAAUCCCAUUAUAUUCUGAAAUUUACACAAAAGCUGAGUUCUAAGAUGGGUUCUGCAAUUCACAUACAUUGUUGCUGAAAUCCAGCAUCAGUACUUCAAAUUCCACUUGUCAUGCUUGAUUACGACGAACGAAUGCCGACACUACGCUGGCUUUGGACCAUAAAUUUAAGUAAAUAAUUAAAACCAGCGUUUUUAAGUUACACACUCAUCAUAUAAUGUGGUCUUUAACAUCUUGAUUGUGACACUACACAUGCUAUAAUUUGCAUGUAUAGUGAUGCAAUUUGACCGUAGAAGUAAUUUUAACGUUACUAUUAAAUCCUUUUUUCAACUUGCCAAGGCUUGUGGGGUUGUCGCAUUUAAUAUAAACAUGUCUUGAAGUUUCUCACAAGAUAAGGAGUGUCCCCUCUCAUUGAAAUUUAUAUCGAACUUUUGACUUUUCAAUAGAAAAGCAUGAAAUUUAUUGAAUUUGAAAUUUAAAAAAUGUUUUUUUUAACCGAGAGACAUUGAAAUAUUUUAUUUGUCACUCAACUAAUUUUCUUUUAUCAUAUGGUCCCAUUUUAAGAUAAAAUAAUAUCUUUAAUUAUAACUUAAUUCUCAAGUUAGAGAUCAAACAUUAUACCUUAAUUAGUUAAAAAUCCAACUGUGUGAAAUCACUUCUAUCAACAACGAAUUUUGGCCCAUCUUGUGCUAACAACUAAGUUGUUAUUAAUUACUAUACAGAUUGCGUCUAGGUUCUUCAUUUACAAUACCAUGGGACCUAGGAGUCUCAAUCCCUUUUGAAUAAUCCACACCAAACUUUGGCAUAUAAUACAAUGACAAAGCAAGUCAUUAAUGACCUAGAUUGAGACCUAGCACCUACACCGAGCCCUUACUAGUAUAAAAACCGAACACUAAGUGUGAGUUAUGCACACCAACACCAAAACAAACCCACUAAGAUGGCUUCCUUUGUAUCCUUCCUAGUGCUGCUUCUUGCAGCCCUUAUCCUCAUGCCUCAAGGGCUUGCUACUUACUACAAACCAAUUAAGAAGCCACCAGUGUACAAGCCUCCAGUGUACAAGCCACCAGUGUACAAACCACCGGUUUAUAAGCCAAAACCACCGGUUUACAAGCCGAAACCACCGGUUUACAAGCCACCAUAUAAGAAGCCACCAUACAAGAAACCACCUUAUGGAAAGUACCCUCCAGUAGAGGACAACACCCAUGCCUAAAGCAAGCAAUGAGGUCUAUUAUCUACUUAAUAAAUAAGAGGAACUGCUUUGUGUUUUCUAGCAUUGUGACUUACAACUUCGUAGCAAUGCAUAUUCUUGACUCUUGCAUGCACUUCAAUCCUUCGUAGCAUUAAUGAUGUGGCCAAGUCAUCAUGAGCAUCAUACUUAUUUCUUUGUGAAUGUAAAUCAAAAUUAUAAGAGAGAAAAUGGUGCUUUUGUACUACAGAUUACUAUAAAUAAAAAACUUUUAUGGUUUUCAGAUUGUGCUGGUUGAUUGAUUUGCUCUACCAUUAAUUAUGACGAAACGUAGUUUUUUUUUUUCUCUUUUUUAAUCCGUAAAAAUAAAAAAAAUAAAAAAAUAAAUUUAUAAUAAUUCACACUUUAUUUAAUUAAUCGAAAUAAAUUCCAUAAUAGAUGAUACAUAGUUUGACAUACUAUUGUUAAGCUUAAGAUUAAAGAUCGACCCUAUGUUGCAACUAAACUUUCUACAAUCAAUUUUAUAAAUUGGAUUGGUGCAUGUAAGUCUAGCUAGCUAGAGGCAGAAGAACAGUACUAGAGUAGUAGAUGGAAGCCACUCUCCACGCACCUCAAAUAACUCGCAAUUAAACUUGAGCAUAACAUCAAUAGCGACUUAAGUUAAUUUCAAUUAUGGGCUCUAUUUGAACAAAUUUCUCUAUAAAUAUUUCCAGAAGAAAAUAUUAAGAAAACAAUAAAUUGAACUUCUCAUUUAAGUUAAAAUAAACAUAUUUGUAUAUUUUUUAUAUAAAAACUCUCAUUUAACUUCUCUUAAAAAUAUUGAAGUAUAUAAAUUAAUUUUAGCUUAUGAAAAAAAAAAUCAACUUAUUUUAAUUUUCUAUUCUUAAAAAGCCAUAGUUAUAGUUAAUGUGUACAAAGACCAGUUCCUACGAGAGUUGCUGUAUCCUCCUAAACCAAAUAUCCGAAUACUCCUACUCAGUAAGAAUAUUUUGAUAUCUGUUAAUAAUUUUAUAAUAAAUUAUUUAUUUAAUUUGACAUUUUAAUAUUUAAUUUCUUUCCAAGUUUACCCCUUUUCCAUAUGACCAGUCAACUUAUCCUCUUCAUUCGACUUUAAAAAGAGUGGGUGGUGGUGCGGUGAAGCUGAAAACCACACACAAUGAUGGUGGUGGAGAAUGUGAAAAUGGUUGUGGUCGGAGAAGGAGGUACAAGGGACAAAGUUAACUGAGGAAAAAAAAAACUCAGCGUGAGAGAGGGUCUUUUGAAAAAAAGGACAAAUUUGGAAAGGAGAAAAAAAGUUAAAAAGUGUGUUAACAAGUGUGAAUGCUUAGGUGAUUCAGUUACUUUUUCGCCACAUAUGAUCGGAGGAAUAAACAUUUCUCUUUUUCAUAUUACUAUUUUUGUAUGUUUGUCUACACGUACAUGUGGACGGUUAUUUGUAUCAAGUAUCAACUACAUAUGGGUGUCAAAAUUUAAAACUGAACCGAAUUUAAUGAAUUGAUUCAACAACUCUAAUAUAUAUGUGAUGUGAUUUGAAUUUUAAUAAUUUGCGUACGAUUUUAAUUUAAUUUUGAACCUACUUCAGUACAAAAAUUUACGUAUAAUCUUACUACAAGUACUUAAGUCACCACAAUCAUCUACACUCACAUCUUGAAAAAGUGACAUUGAUAGCAAAUUCAUGAAGUACUCACAGCUAACGUCAUUUGAUGGUUGAAUGAACCCCUCAGCUACCCAUAGCUGAAUGAGUGUUCUCUUAUCAAACUCAAAACCUUUUGGAAACAAUGAACAAUAAGCAAAACAGUUUUCCAAAAAUGAAGGAAGAUGGUCAAAACUCAGUUUAAGGAUUGCAAAGAUUUUGUCCUUCUCUUGAUCUAUCUUUGAAAACCCAACUUCCUUAGAGGCUAUUACUAUGCGCACCCAGCAUAAUUACUGGUACAUCCAGCAUAACAGCAUAAUUCCCGUUUUGUCCUUUCCUAAAAUUGAUACAAAUUGUCAAUUCAUAUAAGAUUUACGGAUUGUCCAAUCUGUAAGUAGCCCAAAUAUUUUUUUAAUUUUUUUUUUAAAAAAAUAUGUUUUAUGAAUUAAUUUAAAAUUAAUGAUUCAUGCAAGAAUCAAACUUAUAACUUUCACGUUAUUAACACGACAUUCUAACCAAUCUCAAUAUUCUUGUCAACCCUUUUAAGUUAUUUUCUUUAUGUUAGUUUUUAACCGAUGUUGAAAGUGCCGAUGUUGAAUGUAUUAUCGUUAACAUCGGUUUUAAAAAAACUGAUGUUAACGUUAAUUUUACAACAUCGUUUAUUUAAAUAACCAAUGUUGAUAAUAAGAAUUACACCCAAAAAAAUGUAUUAAUGUUGAUAGUUAACAUCGGUUUUUUGGAAAAAUCGAUGUUAACGUAACUUAACAUCGGUUUUUUUAUAUAAAAUUGAUGUUAACGUAUGUGUUAAUGUUGACAGUUAACAUCGGUUUUUUGGAAAAACCAAUGUUAACGUAACUUAACAUCGGUUUUUUUACAGAAAACCGAUGUUAACGUAUGUGUUAAUGUUGACAGUUAACAUCGAUUUUCUGUAAAAAAAAAGAAAACCGAUUUUAACGUACGUUAACAUCAGUUUUUUCCAAAAACCCGAUGUUAACGUAUGUGUUAAUGUUGACAAUUAACAUCGGUUUUUCCAAAUAAUCGAUGUUGUUUUCAGGAUUUUUUUUUAAAUAUUCUCUCUGUUUUUACAAAAAAAACCAAAAUUUAACCUGUAAAUUUAAAAUUAGACCACACAGCAUAUAUGAUUUGCAUUUUGCUUUCAAAUAGGUUUUAGCAGAAAACUAGCUAGUAAACUAUUAAAAUGAAACAUCAAUUGUAAAAAAUGUAAUGCAAAGUACGGUAAACUAAUUAAGUA